rnacentral:rRNA from 1 species
CCUUAGUUUAUUAAAUAGUUUAAUAUUUUUAAUUUUUUUUAGAAAUAUUUUUUUAAAACUUCUUAGAAAGACAAUUUAUGUAAAAUGAAAGGAAGCUUGAGGCUAAAACAGGUCUGUGAUGCCCUUAGAUGUCUUGGGCUGCACGCGCGUUACACUGAAUAAAUCAGCAAGUUUAUUUUAUUAAAUAUUUAAUUUAUAUUGAAUAUUUAAUAAAUUCCUGUAAUGGAAAUUAUAGGGUAAUCUUUUGAAAUUUAUUCGUGAUGGGGAUAGAUGAUUGUAAUUAUUCAUCUUAAACGAGGAAUUCCUAGUAAGUGCAAUUCAUCAAAUUGUAUUGAUUACGUCCCUGCCCCUUGUACACACCGCCCGUCGCUGUUUCUGAUUGAAUGGUUAGGUAAAAUGGAUGGAUUCUUAUUAUUAAUUUUUAAUUUAUUAAAAAUUUAAAGGAGAGGUUCAGUGAAUC